rnacentral:rRNA from 1 species
GAUGAACGCUGGCGGCGUGCCUAAUACAUGCAAGUCGAGCGAACGGACGAGAAGCUUGCUUCUCUGAUGUUAGCGGCGGACGGGUGAGUAACACGUGGAUAACCUACCUAUAAGACUGGGAUAACUUCGGGAAACCGGAGCUAAUACCGGAUAAUAUUUUGAACCGCAUGGUUCAAAAGUGAAAGACGGUCUUGCUGUCACUUAUAGAUGGAUCCGCGCUGCAUUAGCUAGUUGGUAAGGUAACGGCUUACCAAGGCAACGAUGCAUAGCCGACCUGAGAGGUGAGGGGGCCCACCGGCAGCGGGGGACGGGUCCGGACCCAGCCGGGAGGGCGGGGGGGGAGAUCUUGCGGGAGGGGCGAAGGCCUGAAGAGGGGCCGCGGGGGGUGUGAGGAGGGCUUUGGGAUCGAAAAACGCUGUUAUGAGGGAAAAACAUAUGUGUAAGAAACGGUGCACAUUUUGACGGAACCUAAUCAGAAAGCCGCGGCUAACUCCGG